rnacentral:rRNA from 2 species
UCUAAACGACUCUCGGCAACGGAUAUCUCGGCUCUCGCAUCGAUGAAGAACGUAGCGAAAUGCGAUACUUGGUGUGAAUUGCAGAAUCCCGUGAACCAUCGAGUCUUUGAACGCAAGUUGCGCCCGAAGCCUUCUGGCCGAGGGCACGCCUGCCUGGGCGUCACG